rnacentral:rRNA from 1 species
GACGAACGCUGGCGGCGUGCCUAAUACAUGCAAGUCGAGCGGACAGAUAAGGAGCUUGCUCCUUUGAAGUCAGCGGCGGACGGGUGAGUAACACGUGGGCAACCUGCCUAUAAGACUGGGAUAACUCCGGGAAACCGGGGCUAAUACCGGAUAGAUUCUUUCCUCUCAUGAGGAAAGAAGGAAAGACGGUUUCGGCUGUCACUUAUAGAUGGGCCCGCGGCGCAUUAGCUAGUUGGUAAGGUAACGGCUUACCAAGGCGACGAUGCGUAGCCGACCGGAGAGGGUGAUCGGCCACACUGGGACUGGGACACGGCCCAGACUCCUACGGGAGGCAGCAGUAGGGAAUCUUCCGCAAUGGACGAAAGUCUGACGGAGCAACGCCGCGUGAACGAAGAAGGCCUUCGGGUCGUAAAGUUCUGUUGUUAGGGAAGAACAAGUACGAUAGUAACUGAUCGUACCUUGACGGUACCUAACCAGAAAGCCACGGCUAACUACGUGCCAGCCGCCGCCGUAAAAC